GACGAACGCUGGCGGCGUGCCUAAUACAUGCAAGUAGAACGCUGAAGAGAGGAGCUUGCUCUUCUUGGAUGAGUUGCGAACGGGUGAGUAACGCGUAGGUAACCUGCCUUGUAGCGGGGGAUAACUAUUGGAAACGAUAGCUAAUACCGCAUAACAAUGGAUGACACAUGUCAUUUAUUUGAAAGGGGCAAUUGCUCCACUACAAGAUGGACCUGCGUUGUAUUAGCUAGUAGGUGAGGUAAUGGCUCACCUAGGCGACGAUACAUAGCCGACCUGAGAGGGUGAUCGGCCACACUGGGGCUGAGACACGGCCCAGACUCCUACGGGAGGCAGCAGUAGGGAAUCUUCGGCAAUGGGGGCAACCCUGACCGAGCAACGCCGCGUGAGUGAAGAAGGUUUUCGGAUCGUAAAGCUCUGUUGUAAGUCAAGAACGGGUGUGAGAGUGGAAAGUUCACACUGUGACGGUAGCUUACCAGAAAGGGACGGCUAACUACGUGCCAGCAGCCGCGGUAAUACGUAGGUCCCGAGCGUUGUCCGGAUUUAUUGGGCGUAAAGCGAGCGCAGGCGGUUUGAUAAGUCUGAAGUUAAAGGCUGUGGCUCAACCAUAGUUCGCUUUGGAAACUGUCAAACUUGAGUGCAGAAGGGGAGAGUGGAAUUCCAUGUGUAGCGGUGAAAUGCGUAGAUAUAUGGAGGAACACCGGUGGCGAAAGCUGCUCUCUGGUCUGUAACUGACGCUGAGGCUCGAAAGCGUGGGGAGCGAACAGGAUUAGAUACCCUGGUAGUCCACGCCGUAAACGAUGAGUGCUAGGUGUUGGAUCCUUUCCGGGAUUCAGUGCCGCAGCUAACGCAUUAAGCACUCCGCCUGGGGAGUACGACCGCAAGGUUGAAACUCAAAGGAAUUGACGGGGGCCCGCACAAGCGGUGGAGCAUGUGGUUUAAUUCGAAGCAACGCGAAGAACCUUACCAGGUCUUGACAUCCCGAUGCUAUUUCUAGAGAUAGAAAGUUACUUCGGUACAUCGGUGACAGGUGGUGCAUGGUUGUCGUCAGCUCGUGUCGUGAGAUGUUGGGUUAAGUCCCGCAACGAGCGCAACCCCUAUUGUUAGUUGCCAUCAUUCAGUUGGGCACUCUAGCGAGACUGCCGGUAAUAAACCGGAGGAAGGUGGGGAUGACGUCAAAUCAUCAUGCCCCUUAUGACCUGGGCUACACACGUGCUACAAUGGUUGGUACAACGAGUUGCGAGUCGGUGACGGCGAGCUAAUCUCUUAAAGCCAAUCUCAGUUCGGAUUGUAGGCUGCAACUCGCCUACAUGAAGUCGGAAUCGCUAGUAAUCGCGGAUCAGCACGCCGCGGUGAAUACGUUCCCGGGCCU
rnacentral:rRNA from 1 species